UGAGGAAUAUUGGUCAAUGGACGAGAGUCUGAACCAGCCAAGUAGCGUGAAGGAUGACUGCCCUAUGGGUUGUAAACUUCUUUUAUACGGGAAUAAAGUUAGCCACGUGUGGCUUUUUGUAUGUACCGUAUGAAUAAGGAUCGGCUAACUCCGUGCCAGCAGCCGCGGUAAUACGGAGGAUCCGAGCGUUAUCCGGAUUUAUUGGGUUUAAAGGGAGCGUAGGCGGGUUGUUAAGUCAGUUGUGAAAGUUUGCGGCUCAACCGUAAAAUUGCAGUUGAUACUGGCGACCUUGAGUGCAACAGAGGUAGGCGGAAUUCGUGGUGUAGCGGUGAAAUGCUUAGAUAUCACGAAGAACUCCGAUUGCGAAGGCAGCUUACUGGAUUGUAACUGACGCUGAUGCUCGAAAGUGUGGGUAUCAAACAGGAUUAGAUACCCUGGUAGUCCACACAGUAAACGAUGAAUACUCGCUGUUGGCGAUAUACAGUCUGCGGCCAAGCGAAAGCAUUAAGUAUUCCACCUGGGGAGUACGCCGGCAACGGUGAAACUCAAAGGAAUUGACGGGGGCCCGCACAAGCGGAGGAACAUGUGGUUUAAUUCGAUGAUACGCGAGGAACCUUACCCGGGCUUAAAUUGCAACCGAAUAUGGCGGAAACGCUAUAGCUAGCAAUAGCGGUUGUGAAGGUGCUGCAUGGUUGUCGUCAGCUCGUGCCGUGAGGUGUCGGCUUAAGUGCCAUAACGAGCGCAACCCUUGCCGAUAGUUACUAACAGGUUAUGCUGAGGACUCUGUCGGGACUGCCAUCGUAAGAUGUGAGGAAGGUGGGGAUGACGUCAAAUCAGCACGGCCCUUACGUCCGGGGCUACACACGUGUUACAAUGGGGGGUACAGAGGGCUGCUACCACGCAAGUGGAUGCCAAUCCCAAAAACCUCUCUCAGUUCGGAUUGAAGUCUGCAACCCGACUUCAUGAAGCUGGAUUCGCUAGUAAUCGCGCAUCAGCCACGGCGCGGUGAAUACGUUCCC
rnacentral:rRNA from 2 species